rnacentral:misc_RNA from 1 species
GGGUUCUGCAGAUCUUACAACAGAUACUACCGCAAUGACUACCUUCUCAUCCCGAUCUGCCACUAUCCUGAAAUUCAACAGAAUGCUGGCAUUUUUCCUUUUGAUCUCACAUGAAGUGAAAUUCAGACAUUGAAACGCAAAGCUUCUUCACUGCUUCCCUUGCAUACAUUUGCAUAAUGUUUCUGGAAAUCCCUUUUACAGUGAAUGUC